rnacentral:lncRNA from 12 species
AGGCAGUGUUCAUGAAAAGUGUGUCCUCCCCUGGGCAACCCUGGCCUCCCUCCCUAUGCUUCUCAGCUUCUCUUUCUGAUUCUUUUAUGUUUAAUUCUCACAAUAACCCAAUGAGGAAGUAGAACAUGAAGAAAAAAGCUGGAACAUGCAGGCAAUUUACUGGGUUCAAGGUAAGUGUAGUAGGAGUUGAUGCUGCUGUUUACCUACAGCAAACCAUAGAGUUGCCCAUGUGAGAAGCAUUUAGAUUUUAAAUCACUGCCAGUAAUUGGAAAGUGUGCCCUAUGGCUUUCAAUUUGGGGUUCAUAAAGCAGAUUUUAUGCAUGCCUCAUAGUCUGUAUUUUAACAUGCCUGAUGAUACCUAACAUGCCUGUCAGAUUUGGAAAAGAUCCUUCCCAGGAUUUUCAUAUAAUGUGUUAGCCAACAAAUGGAAAAAUGGAAAUUUCAUUUCAUUGUGAUGAACCAUAUAAAAUUGUCAUCUUUGUAAGAAUACUAACAAUUUCAUGUAAUUCAACCUAAAUGAACAUAGAUAACAUUGGGCAACCAUUAUUUGACUUUAGGACAGGGAGUGACUUGAUCAGAUUUGGAUUUUGAAUGGGUAAGCAUGGGAAUUUUAGAGGGUGUACUGGAGUAUAAGGCCUGAAGGCAGGAAAGAUCUAAUACACUAUUGGUGAGAAAUAUGAGAUAUGAUGUCUUAAUGAGUCCCCUGCUAGGUGUGGGCUACUUCAGGGCAGAUACUAUGUUUCUCACAAAUGCUUACUGAGAAUGGAGUAGGUGCCCAAAAGAGAAUUAUUAAGUGAGUGAGAGGGUGGGAGUAGAGAGGACAUAGAAGAUACUCUACUUGUAGCAUCUACUUGAAUGUAGAGAUAGGAAUAAGGUGAAACAAAACAAUAAUGCCUUUAAAUCAUCAAAGUUAAGAAGGAAAUGUGAAGAAAAAAGGAAGAAUCAGCAAAUAAUGUCAGGGAUUCACCUUCUGCUAGUGAUUUCUCCAGACUUCUUCCAUUGGUUGACAUUUCUGACAGGGAAAAUUUAGAAUCUUCAAAUCUUAUGUUAAACAAACACUUUAAAGAUAUUGGGAGGGUAGAGUGUCAAAUGCUGCAUUUCUAGAUAUAGUUUCCAAGUGCAGAGUUCCUGGGUGUCCCCACUUUUCCUCUCACUCCUGGCCUAACUGAUCUUGGAAACUCCUUAUUUUCCAGUAUCUUUUCCUAUUGGCUACUGCAUGGCAAAGGUAGCCAGGUCUAAUAAUGUUGCCCUUUAAAAUCUGGCACUGGAAAUAACUGGAGAAAUUAAUGCAGUGUAUCCCAGUUUGUUCCUAUUCAAAAAGAGUAAAAAAGUGUAAAAUAAGUGUAAAAUUUUUUUUAAAGUUUUAAUGCGAAUAAAUUUAGGAAAUGUUCAGUUAAACA